CACUUCGAUCUAGUGCCUCCAAUUGUGCGGUACUAGAAAAAUGCACAUUCACCUAUUUUCAUAUGUGAUAAUAUAUCAUACGCCUAUUUCAAUCUAUGAAUCUAUUAGCUAAGGAGCACGUUGUUGUGAUGCUUUAAUGCGCGUUCAAAUAGGCUAAUGCACAUUAAAGUGCAGGUGUAGAUGUACCCCCAAGUGUCUAGUGCAGAGCCAGCAGCCUGGCAGUGGGGCAGGGCCCUGGGUUAGGCAGCAGGAGGCCGAGAGGAGGCAGCUGGCCAUGGUCAGGAGCAUACCGACUGGAAGGGGAAGAGCCCACGGGGUAUAAGCCUGGGUCCCUGAGGCAGGGGGUCAAGUGUAGCCCUACAAGCAGCCUGAGGCCAAGAGCCCAAGCCCAGAGAAAGGCAGGCGGUGGCUGAUGAGAAGCUAAGACUGAAAGGCUGGGUCAGAGCAAGUGAGGCCAGGCUACAAGUCUAGAACCAGAGUAACCUGUAGGCUAAGGUUAAUUGGACCAAAGCUCAUACAGAAAGAAAAAAAGAAUUCAUGAGUCCCACUGGAGCUGCUGGGUACUUACAACAGAGGCAUAGAGAAACCAGGUGAGGAGGGUCCAGCUACCUGCACCAGGCAGACUGAAAUGAAGAGGCAGGGAGGAGGCACUGACAAAUCGUGUAUCCCAAACAGCUAAAGGAAGACCUUAGCACUCUUGGUGCUUCUGACUAUGACAGAAUCCAUCUGCAGCAACUACAAUGGGAUACUUGGGCAAGGCUGCCCCGUGCAUAUGUUUACUAAAACCCUAAAGCACUUCCACUGUAAUCCCUGGACCCUAGCUCAGUCUCCCUUAUAGUCUAAGGUACCAAUCUAAUAAUAUAUUCUGUGUAUUUAUACA